GACGAACGCUGGCGGCGUGCUUAACACAUGCAAGUCGAACGGAAAGGCCCUGCUUUUGUGGGGUGCUCGAGUGGCGAACGGGUGAGUAGCACGUGAGUAACCUGCCCUUGACUUUGGGAUAACUUCAGGAAACUGGGGCUAAUACCGGAUAGGAGCUCCUGCUGCAUGGUGGGGGUUGGAAAGUUUCGGCGGUUGGGGAUGGACUCGCGGCUUAUCAGCUUGUUGGUGGGGUAGUGGCUUACCAAGGCUUUGACGGGUAGCCGGCCUGAGAGGGUGACCGGCCACAUUGGGACUGAGAUACGGCCCAGACUCCUACGGGAGGCAGCAGUGGGGAAUAUUGCACAAGGGGCGGAAGCCUGAGGCAGCAACGCCGCGUGCGGGAUGACGGCCUUCGGGUUGUAAACCGCUUUCGCCUGUGACGAAGCGUGAGUGACGGUAAUGGGUAAAGAAGCACCGGCUAACUACGU
rnacentral:rRNA from 1 species